CUGACUAUUGCCAGUUGAUAAAGCCCUGUGUGGCGAAACGCGUUUUGGCUAUUUUAUAUAUUUUUUACUGUACUAAUAAAGGAAUAGUGGCUUCUUUAUAAUAAUUUUGCCAUAUACCUUUUUUAUUUCACUUUUAAAAAUUUCCUGUUACCUGGUCAUAUAUUAUCUUGGAGCCUACCCACGACCAAGAAUCCUGGGUGGGGAUUGUACCACCUAUGCGAUUAUACUGAGCAGUCUAUCCUGCUCAUCCGAAUGUGAGUAUUUUUAUUCUUUUAUUCCAUUUUAUUUUACUUAUAUCCAGUGAGCACUAUAUUCUGCUUUUAUCUCCUUUCUAUAACCGAGGAAUUACCUUCACCUAUAUCCUACCAGUGGGGGAUAAACGCCACUGAACGCCCAACAUACUAGAGUGAGUCUAUGCUCUGAGAUAGGUGAGUGUAUUACCUACCUAUUAUUCUUCUUAGCAAUAGACAGUCUACACUAUUGGAUCGUCUUUGUUGUUUAUAUUUUCCAUGUUCACCUCCGAAUCAAGACUCCUCUAAAGACUAGAAGAUCCAGUCUCUUAUUGGACUCACUACCCUCAUAUACUUACCGGAACCUGAAAGAAAAAUAUACCAAGUACUGUAACUAUCAUUCAUUCAUUUGAACUCACCAAAAGUAUAUCAAGUAUUUGGACUAUCAUUUUUUUUAUAUAUUUAUUAAAUACUUUUUUUUAUAUAUUUCUCUUUAUUUAUGUUUUAAAGUGUUUGUUGUUACAAUAUAUUUAUCCCUUUCCAUUUGUUAUUUAUGUAGCGCAACCUAUUAUUCCUGUUUUUGCCAUUUCUCCUUUGAGGACUUUAGAGGGAACCUCAUAUCUAUAGGUUGCAGCUUUCUACUUGACCAUAUCACGCAGCGCUGAUCCGUUUUCUACCUGUA